rnacentral:rRNA from 1 species
AGAUUGAACGCUGGCGGCAGGCCUAACACAUGCAAGUCGAGCGGCAGCACGGGUACUUGUACCUGGUGGCGAGCGGCGGACGGGUGAGUAAUGCCUAGGAAUCUGCCUGAUAGUGGGGGAUAACGCUCGGAAACGGACGCUAAUACCGCAUACGUCCUACGGGAGAAAGCAGGGGACCUUCGGGCCUUGCGCUAUCAGAUGAGCCUAGGUCGGAUUAGCUAGUUGGUGGGGUAAUGGCUCACCAAGGCGACGAUCCGUAACUGGUCUGAGAGGAUGAUCAGUCACACUGGAACUGAGACACGGUCCAGACUCCUACGGGAGGCAGCAGUGGGGAAUAUUGGACAAUGGGCGAAAGCCUGAUCCAGCCAUGCCGCGUGUGUGAAGAAGGUCUUCGGAUUGUAAAGCACUUUAAGUGGAAGAAGGCAGUUACCUAAUACGUAUCUGUUUGACGUUACGACAGAAUAAGCACCGGCUAAC